GGCAAACAUUUGCAGCAAGUUUGCAGCAAACAUUGCCGCAAGCUUGCAGCAAACAUAAACUUACCGCAACCAUUUUACCAUGCAAAUGAAGUUUGCAGCAAGCUUGCUGCAAACAUAAUUAUGCAAAUUAGAUUUGCCGCAAGCUUGCGGCAAUUGUUUGCUGCAAGCUUGCGGCAAAUGUUUGUU
rnacentral:sRNA from 1 species